rnacentral:lncRNA from 1 species
GAGAAGCUGCGCAAGCUGUGCCUGCUAGAAAAAAGGAGAGGUCUCUGUCUUCAUUUUUGAGCAAACCAAAUGUAUGUAGUACUACUAUCAUGACUAGAAGAAGAAGAAGAAGAAGAAGAAGAAAAGGCAUUGCAAGAAAGUUUCUUCCUUCUCAAGGAUCCACUGCUUACAUUGAGAAGCCGCGUAAAUCCAUGGAAGACGACCCUCCAGAGAGCUCAAACUUCUCCCGGACUCCUAGGAAGAUUGCACAACGUAAUAAGGAGGUGGGGAGUCUCUAUAUGCACUUCUUGUUUGUUCUUAUACUUGUUCAUAUAUAGCCAAAAAUCUUAACCUUAAUAGCUACUAUUCGUUUAGUAAAAGAGCAUAUAGUGACGGUGUAUACACAUGCGUUGUUAGGAUCAUAACACAUCAUUAAAAUAUAAGGAUUUCGUUAUUGAUGUGUCAUAAUCCUAACACUGCUCGUGUAUACAUUGACAUUGUAUGAAAAUUUAAUUCUUAGUAAAAAAAAAACCUCUAUAAUUGAACUGUUGUGAUGCUGCAGAUUUCUUCUGCUGUGGAGUCCUCUAAGCAACUAAUACCCACAAAAGGUGAAGAGAGAACUCGGAGAACUGUCAAGCCUUUGAAUUACCUAGAAGAAUCAGCAGACAUAACAAAGGCAAGGAAUGUGUGUAAAGGCAAAGGCAGUGACUCUGGAAAUAGGUCAAAAAUAUAUGAUGAUACUGACGAUGAUGAUGAUGAAAUUGAGUAUACUCCACCAUCAGCUCCGCCGGUAAGAGCCAGAAGGAAGACUCGUGGUCGACCAAGAAAAGUAGUUGCCUCUGCAGAACUGAAUGUUUCUGCACAAACUAUCAUUGAUUCAAAAAGCAGCCAACAUGAGGAAAGAAUCUGUCCAAUUUGGCUUGCAUUAGUUUCUUCCGAUAACCAGUGAGAUUUUUAUCCUACUAUAUAUAUUUUGGAUUAAUAAUUAAUGUUAUAGGUAGUUAAUUUAGUCCUAUUAUUAACUUGUUUGAUACUUAUGCUUGUUGGGGUUCAUGUUUGAAGGGAAGGAGAUGAGCCGCAAAAACCUCUAUGCUACUUGAUGAUUAAGUGAGUUCCUUGAUAACUAAACUAUAUAUGAGUUUUUGUACCAUGUUUCUUCGGUUUGCUUCAAAAUCCACAAUUGUACUUGCAAUUUGAAAUUUUUAUAUAUUAUGCUUGAUAUGAUUUUGCAUUUAUAUGGCCAUAAUAUAUAUAUAUAUAGAUACCUUACUAGAUUUUGUUCAUUUCUUAUUAUGUCUAACCUCAUAUAUGUAAGAUUCCUUGAUUUAGUAAAAAUUAAGCUAUUAUCUGUCCAAUUUAGACAGCAUUACCAAUAUACUUUCUUGCUUAAGAGUUGGAUAAACUUGAAAAACUCCAUUUUCCCCUACACUUGGUGCCUCCAUUUCAGAGGCUAAUAUGCAUCUCGUUGCUUUUCAACCAUUAGUAAUAAUCUUUUUUACAAGGUUUGCUCUUACCAUGUGAAGAUUUUUCUUUGUUUUUCAUAGCUUUGACUUUGACAUUCCAUUAUAUGAAUAUUACUUUUUUACGAUCGUGGAGUAACUUAAUAUAUAUAUAUAUACAUAUAUAUAUGGGGUUAAUGGAACUACACAGUCGUGUUAUGACGACAGUUUUUUUAGUCUAUAACGACGGUUGAUAGACCAGAAUAUAAAUUAGGCAAUUGUAUACUACACAACUGUGUAUAUACAUUUUUUCCAUAUAAAUAUAUACUCAUGACACAAAAAGUCCUAAUUCUGUGUAUGUUGAGAAGUUUAAAAAGUUGACUUCGUUGUCUUAAUUUCUACCAAAUGGCAUAUAUCUUUCAAUAUGAUUGACAUACACAUACUAUUCAUAUUAUUUUUCUUUCGUAGGAAUGUUAGUCUACCAGUAUCGUUCAUCAAAAAGUACCUUACGCGGAAACUUGAGCUUAAUAGUGAGGAUGAGGUAACUUAAUUUUCCCCCUAGCAGAAUAAGAGUUGCAGUGAGUUGUAUAAUUUUUUUUCUGAUUGAAUUACUACAAUUUACAACUUGUUUUAAUUAAUGUGUUAUAGGUGGAGAUUUGCUUGCGGGGUGAGCCUCUUCUUCCCAGCUUGCCGCUGAAUGCCUUAACUGAUUUGUGGUCACCGCCAUUGGGAAAAUUAUCAGCAACGGUGGGAGAUUCAGCCAAGGACUUUGUGAUGCUUCUUUCUUAUGCUCGAAAACCGCCGGCCUCUUAAAAAUUUAUUUACAAACCUACCCAGCUAGCUAGCUACCUAAUCUUAGACAAUUACUACUGUUUUCUGGGAAGCUAGAUAAUGAUAUAGAAAACUGUUGUUGUACUAUGUUUGUUGUUCUUCACAUGCAUGUGAAUGUGACUUGAAGUAAUGUGCUCAAGUUUACUAUUAGCCGCAAUAUUUACUGGAUUUUUGUUUGGUUUUAUUGUGUUUGCUCAAGUUUACAUUCUGCAGUUUGGUGUUGCCCUUUGUGCUGCUUAGAUCCUUUUGUAGCUGAGAUAUUCACAACACAAUAUAUCUCUUGCCAAAGUGAAAUAGCAGUAUUAGUAUAGCAUUGAUUCAAUUAGCCAUAAAUAGUCAUGUAUUUUGGUGGGGAACUGGGGAUUCAAACUAUAAUCUAUGAUUUGAGGGAUACAUGCUGCACAAACUAGAAAUACAAAAUGCAACAACAAGAAACCUUGAGAACAUAAUAUUACAAAAGAGAAGGGCAUAGAAGGAAAGCAGCAGAAACAAUUUAAGGCUAAGAAAACAUGUGAGGCCCCUACCCAAAUUAUUCUCAGAAAAGUUUGAUAAAGCUUGAAGCCCCUAUUUUCAAUUAGGGAGAUACAUGCAGCACAAGGACAAAUAUAGCCAGAAGAAACCUGCAAAAUUAGUACUCCCAAUUGCACAGAAGGGCGGCAGAAAUCUUACCAAAAGAUUCAAUAAUCUAGUCAGAUUUUAAAGUUCUUAAAUCUCCUCAAAAUUUUAGCCCGUGUUGCCAAUAUAUACCCACCAAAUCAAAAAAUGUACUAUAUAUUCAUAAACCCACAAAGCCCUGAUAGCACCAAUUAGAAAAUGCACAAACCCAUUUUGCAUCAUUUGACGAUCAUUAAGCUAAGUAUUACAAAAUCUGCUUUGAACCCAUAAAAGCAUACAAAGAAGACUAAUAUGGUAAAAAUAGUGAUGGGCUUGUAAUGAUACUAAGCUUCAAAAUGAAGAACUGAGUGUAAAGAGACGCAGAAUGAGGAAGAGUAAAAUAUGUGACGGAGAAUCACUCACAGUGUAUUGAUAGUAGAUUUUACCGCAAACGGAUUUCUUCUUCUCGGCUGACUUGUGAGCUUCCGUCUGCAAAAAUGUAUUUGAGAG